AUUAGUUGACAAAUGCUGUGUAUAAUCACAUUUAUCAAACAGUUGAUUAUUAAUUUUAUUUAGCAUUUUUAUUAGAUAUAUAUUGUACAUUGUUUUCUGUAUUUAUUUUGCAACUAAUGUAAGUCCUUUAUUAACUAAAACAUUUUUGUAAACGAUCCUCUAACCUAAUUGGCGCUGUUUACAUUGAAUGGUUUAUUUUGAUUAAAAGAAUUGGAUCUAGAAAAUACUGCACGUAAUUGUUAUUGAAGCAAUCCAAUGGAAACGUAAAACAUAUGAAGAUUGUUAAUAUGCUUAAAGGAAAUCAGAGGUAAAUGACAAUAUCCUUUAAAAGAAUUAUUGUGAAAAACAAUUGCCUAUAAUGUACAAAAACAAUUACUUGGGGGAAAUUUGCAUUGGCACUGAAGAAAUUAAGUCUUUUUUAUAAAUAUAAGUGUAUGCUGCAUCGUUGAAAUACAAUGGACAGAGGUCCUUGUCUUCUGAUUAUAUAGAUGAUAAGUUUAAAUUUGUAAAUAGUACUAGCAAAUUAAAUUUCCUGCAUCCAA